GUACUUGCUUCCGCAGCACAUAUGCUAAAAUUGGAACAAUUCCGAGAGGAUGAGCAUGGCCCCUGCGCACGGGUGACACACAAAUUCGUGAAGGUUCCAUUUUU